GAUGAACGCUAGCGGCAGGCUUAACACAUGCAAGUCGAGGGGUAUUGGUUUUCGGACCAAGAGACCGGCGCACGGGUGCGUAACGCGUAUGCAAUCUACCUUUUGCAGAGGGAUAGCCCAGAGAAAUUUGGAUUAAUACCUCAUAGUAUAGUACCUUGGCAUCAAGGAGCUAUUAAAGUCACAACGGCAAAAGAUGAGCAUGCGUCCCAUUAGCUAGUUGGUAAGGUAACGGCUUACCAAGGCGACGAUGGGUAGGGGUCCUGAGAGGGAGAUCCCCCACACUGGUACUGAGACACGGACCAGACUCCUACGGGAGGCAGCAGUGAGGAAUAUUGGACAAUGGGCGCAAGCCUGAUCCAGCCAUGCCGCGUGCAGGAUGACGGUCCUAUGGAUUGUAAACUGCUUUUAUACAGGAAGAAACACUGGUUCGUGAACCAGCUUGACGGUACUGUAAGAAUAAGGAUCGGCUAACUCCGUGCCAGCAGCCGA
rnacentral:rRNA from 1 species